rnacentral:rRNA from 1 species
AACGAACGCUGGCGGCGCGCCUAAUACAUGCAAGUCGAGCGAGAAGACGUAGCAAUACGUUUGUAAAGCGGCGAACGGGUGAGGAAUACAUGGGUAACCUACCCUCGAGUGGGGAAUAACUAGCCGAAAGGUUAGCUAAUACCGCGUACGCUCCUUGGACUUCGGUUCAGGGAGGAAAGCGAUACCGUGGGUAUCGCGCUCUUGGAUGGGCUCAUGUCCUAUCAGCUUGUUGGUGAGGAACGGCUCACCAAGGCUUCGACGGGUAGCUGGUCUGAGAGGACGAUCAGCCACACUGGCACUGCGACACGGGCCAGACUCCUACGGGAGGCAGCAGUAAGGAAUAUUGCGCAAUGGGCGAAAGCCUGACGCAGCGACGCCGCGU